rnacentral:ncRNA from 6 species
AUAAUGGUACUCCCGUCCAGUCACAGUCCGAGCGGUAUCCAAUCCGCCGCAGGCAAUGAGGGCGGCUCUGGCAGACCGUCAGUUGGGGUGAAACUCCCGUG